rnacentral:rRNA from 1 species
AGUUUGAUCCUGGCUCAGGAUGAACGCUGGCGGCGUGCUUAACACAUGCAAGUCGAGCGAAGCAUAUAAGCGGAAGUUUUCGGAUGGAAGCGUGUAUGACUGAGCGGCGGACGGGUGAGUAACGCGUGGGUAACCUGCCUCAUACAGGGGGAUAACAGUUAGAAAUGACUGCUAAUACCGCAUAAGCGCACAGGACCGCAUGGUCAAGUGUGAAAAACUCCGGUGGUAUGAGAUGGACCCGCGUCUGAUUAGCUGGUUGGUGAGGUAACGGCCCACCAAGGCGACGAUCAGUAGCCGACCUGAGAGGGUGGCCGGCCACAUUGGGACUGAGACACGGCCCAAACUCCUACGGGAGGCAGCAGUGGGGAAUAUUGCACAAUGGGGGAAACCCUGAUGCAGCAACGCCGCGUGAGUGAAGAAGUAUUUCGGUAUGUAAAGCUCUAUCAGCAGGGAAGAAGAAAGACGGUACCUGACUAAGAAGCCCCGGCUAACUACGUGCCAGCAGCCGCGGUAAUACGUAGGGGGCAAGCGUUAUCCGGAUUUACUGGGUGUAAAGGGAGCGUAGACGGCAUAGCAAGUCUGAAGUGAAAGCCCGUGGCUCAACCGCGGAACUGCUUUGGAAACUGUUAAGCUGGAGUACUGGAGAGGCAAGCGGAAUUCCUAGUGUAGCGGUGAAAUGCGUAGAUAUUAGGAGGAACACCAGUGGCGAAGGCGGCUUGCUGGACAGAGACU